GACGAACGCUGGCGGCGUGCUUAACACAUGCAAGUCGAACGGAAAGGCCCUGCUUUUGUGGGGUGCUCGAGUGGCGAACGGGUGAGUAACACGUGAGUAACCUGCCCUUGACUUUGGGUUAACUUCAGGAAACUGGGGCUAAUACCGGAUAGGAGCUCCUGCUGCAUGGUGGGGGUUGGAAAGUUUCGGCGGUUGGGGAUGGACUCGCGGCUUAUCAGCUUGUUGGUGGGGUAGUGGCUUACCAAGGCAUUGACGGGUAGCCGGCCUGAGAGGGUGACCGGCCACAUUGGGACUGAGAUACGGCCCAGACUCCAACGGGAGGCAGCAGUGGGGAAUAUUGCACAGUGGGCGGGAGCCUGAUGCAGCAACGCCGCGUGCGGGAUGACGGCCUUCGGGUUGUGAACCGCUUUCGCCUGUGACGAAGCGUGAGUGACGGUAAUGGGUAAAGAAGCACCGGCUAACUACGUG
rnacentral:rRNA from 1 species